rnacentral:rRNA from 1 species
AGUCGGACGGCAGCACAGGGAAGCUUGCUUCUCGGGUGGCGAGUGGCGAACGGGUGAGUAACAUAUCGGAACGUACCGGGUAGCGGGGGAUAACUGAUCGAAAGAUCAGCUAAUACCGCAUACGUCUUGAGAGGGAAAGCAGGGGACCUUCGGGCCUUGCGCUAUCCGAGCGGCCGAUAUCUGAUUAGCUGGUUGGCGGGGUAAAGGCCCACCAAGGCGACGAUCAGUAGCGGGUCUGAGAGGAUGAUCCGCCACACUGGGACUGAGACACGGCCCAGACUCCUACGGGAGGCAGCAGUGGGGAAUUUUGGACAAUGGGCGCAAGCCUGAUCCAGCCAUGCCGCGUGUCUGAAGAAGGCCUUCGGGUUGUAAAGGACUUUUGUCAGGGAAGAAAAGGCCGUUGCCAAUAUCGGCGGCCGAUGACGGUACCUGAAGAAUAAGCACCGGCUAA